rnacentral:misc_RNA from 1 species
GAUGAAGAACGUAGCGAAAUGCGAUAAGUAAUGUGAAUUGCAGAAUUCAGUGAAUCAUCGAAUCUUUGAACGCACAUUGCGCCCGCCAGUAUUCUGGCGGGCAUGCCUGUUCGAGCGUCAUUUCAACCAUCAGGCCCCAGGCUUGUGUUGGGGGCCUGCAGCUGCUGCAGCCCCCUAAAAGCAGUGGCGGACUCGCUGUCAUACCGAGCGCAGUAGUUACAUCUCGCUCUGGGCAUGGCGGCGGGCACCUGCCGUAAAACACUCUUUCUAAGGUUGACCUCGGAUCAGGUAGGAAUACCCGCUGAACUUAAGCAUAUCAAUAAGCGGAGGA